CCCCACAGAGCCCCAUAGAACCCCAUAGAGACCCCACAGAGCCCCACAGAGCCCCAUAGAACCCCACAGCCCCCACAGAGCCUCAUAGGGCCCCACAGAACCCCACAAGGCCCCACAGAACCCCACAGAGCCCCAUAGAGACCCCAUAGAACCCCACAGAGCCACAUAGAGCCCCAUAGAGACCCCAUAGAGCCCCACAGAGCCCCAUAGAGACCCCAUAGAGACCCACAGAGCCCCACAGAGCCCCAUAGAGACCCCAUAGAACCCCACAGAGCCCCAUAGAGACCCCACAGAGCCCCAUAGGGCCCCACAGAGCCCCAUAGAACCCCACAGAGACCCAUAGAGACCCCAUAGAAGCCCACAGAGCCCCACAGAGACCCAUAGAGACCCCAUAGAGACCCCAUAGAACCCCACAGAGCCCCAUAGACACCCCACAGAGCCCCAUAGAGACCCCAUAGAACCCUACAGAGCUCCACAGAGCCCCAUAGAACCCCACAGAGCCCCAUAGAGACCCCAUAGAAGCCCAUAGAACCCCACAGAGCCCCAUAGAGACCCCAUAGAACCCCACAGAGCCCCAUAGAGACCCCACAGAGCCCCAUAGAGACCCCAUAGAGACACAUAGAGACCCCAUAGAACCCCACAGAGCCCCAUAGGGACCCCACAGAGACCCCACAGCCCCCACAGAGCCCCACAGAGCCCCAUAGAGACCCCACAGAGCCCCAUAGAGCCCCAUAGAGACCCCAUAGAGACUCCAUAGAACCCCACAGAGCCCCAUAGAGACUCCAUAGAACCCCACAGAGCCCCAUAGAAUUCCACAGAGACCCCACAGAGCCCCACAGAGACCCCACAGAGCCCCAUAGACACCCCACAGAGCCCCAUAGAGACCCCAUAGAGCCCCACAGAGCCCCAUAGAACCCCACAGAGCCCCAUAGAGCCCCAUAGAGACCCCAUAGAGACCCCACAGAGCCCCAUAGAGACCCCAUUGAACCGCACAGAGCCCCAUAGAGACCCCAUAGAGACCCCACAGAGCCCCAUAGAGCCCCAUAGAGACUCCAUAGAACCCCACAGAGCCCCAUAGGGACUCCACAGAGACCCCACAGCCCCCACAGAGCCCCACAGACACCCAUAGAGACCCCACAGAGCCCCAUAGAGACCCCAUAGAACCCCACAGAGCCACAUAGAGCCCCAUAGAGACCCCAUAGAGACCCCAUAGAGACCCCACAGAGCCCCAUAGAGACCCCAUAGAACCCCACAGAGACACAUAGAGCCCCACAGAGCCCCACAGAGACCCCACAGAGCCCCAUAGAGCUUCACAGAACCCCACAGAGACACAUAGAGCCCCACAGAGCCCCACAGAGACCCCACAGAGCCCCAUAGAGCUUCACAGAACCCCACAGAGCCCCAUAGACACCCCACAGAGCCCCAUAGAGACCCCAUAGAACCCUACAGAGCUCCACAGAGCCCCAUAGAACCCCACAGAGCCCCAUAGAGACCCUACAGAGCCCCAUAGAGACCCCAUAGAGACCUCACAGCCCCCACAGAGCCCCAUAGAACCCCACACAGCCCCAUAGAGACACACAGAGCCCCAUAGAACCCCAUAGAGACCCCAUAGAACCCCACAGAGCCCCACAGAGCCCCAUAGAGACCCCACAGAGACCC
rnacentral:lncRNA from 1 species